rnacentral:lncRNA from 1 species
GUUGGAGGUGUCUAGGCCAACUAAGGCACUCAGACAUACAAGAGUUUCCAAGAGGACAGUGAUUGAGCCAAAAGAAAAUCUGAUUCUUCCCGGUCUCCUCCUUGUUCCUCAGGUGCCACAUGCGUAUCUGACGAACGUCAAAACAGAGAGCUGGACUCCUCGUGCAAAAAUGCACUGGCAAGCCAUCGGUGACCUUUAAGAAGCCAUCACUGAAAAUGGGCAUUGGAGCAAGAGGUCCAUUUAUUUCAUGAAAAGAAUCAUAGCUGAAUUCUCACAACAGGUUCCACCAAUGUGUGCAAGACAAGAGACUGGGAAGCACUCUUUGGGUUCAAAACAAGUACUGUACUUUAUCACAAAUGUCUUUAAAAAGCUGUUUUAAGAUGAACUUUCUUAUCCCUCUUAUGUAAUAAUAAUAGAAAACAUUAAACCUAUUA